ensembl:lncRNA
AUUAGCAAAUUAAUCUGUGUGAGGAAUUCCCACUGAAAAUCAAACCCCAAUUCUUGUCUGGCAAUGUUGCUGUUUCUCCUUUAAAGAAUUUUUUGGCUAAACAGUUGUUUGGGGUGGAGUUACUGCAACAGAUCCUUUCAGUUUCAGGGUUUUUUUCCUCUCUGCUCUUAGACGAAAGGAUAUCCAGCAGAAUAAAAAGACAAGGAGAGAGCAAGUUCGCAAAAAUUGGUAAGAGAUCUUCACUCCUAAAAGGGGGAGAUUUCAAGAGUUUCUAGGAUUUUCCUUAGUGUUACCUGGGUCUCCUGUAAGAGAGGCAGCAGAGGAAAGAACCACAUAGCAGGAGUAUGCUAGCCAUUGAGUAGGAAACAAAAAUAUUUUAUAUGCAUUUCACAUUUCCAAGUUCCUGCUCUCUUGCUACUUUGUUGUGCAGAGGUUUCUUUCACAGCCUUCUCUCCUGCUGCAAGUUCCCUCUUUUCAAAAUACCACUGUGUGCAAUUUUGCAGUAUCUGGCAGAGAAAGGAUUCAGCACAUGGACCAUACCAAACCCAGAAGCUGCCUCAAUUUCCCCCCAUGACUGAUGAUUGCUUCUGUUUAUAUGUUUGCAAUUAAGUGAUAAAACAUUAAUUUCUUUGUUCAGGGUAAUUUACCAUCUUUCAUGAAAUAGAAGACUCAGAAGGGCCAUGAGGAUUGCAGAACCUGGUGUGUCUUGAAAAGCAGCAAGGCCAUUGGACAAACUCUACAAAAGAAAGAUGAUUUCCCUCUCUCAGAAGAGACUAUCACAUCACCUCAAGCUCUUAAAGACGUUCAGUCUUUCAACACGCUGGUUAUCUGUGACUAUUGCAGCAUUCUGCUGCCACUUCCAACCCUUCAGAAACACGAGACCGUCCAGGCUGGGGUCUCUGCAGGAGCAGUGCUCCGGAUCUACUCCAGCAUCAGCCAGCCAGCAGAGCUGACAGAGUGUGAGUUCAUUUCGUGGGACAGUGAGGAGUACCCACCUGCACCCCCUGAGGCACCUGCACCUGCCAUGCCCUGAGUGCACACCUGCAUCUGCCCAGAUGCACAACUGAGCUGCAGGGCUGUGCCUCACAGGGCUGGGACUCCUUCGCUGGGUGAUGUGACUUUUCCUACAAUAAGCUCAAUCUCUACAAGAGAGCCCAGGAAGGCAAUUUGCUCUUUAAAUGACCCCAAUGUACAUUGGGUGUAUUGAAGAAAAAAGCCAUUUCCUAGUGACUAAAUCUCAUUAAAAAAGCAAUUUUCCAAUCAAUUACAGUGCAAUUUAGCUGCUAACUAUUUAAUUAUCAAAAAAGAAGCUAUUUUGUACUUUGUUCCUGUAUUUAUGAACCAUGUUUUAAAAUUUCAUCUUCAGAGUUUUGAAUGGAUGAAUGUGACUACUCUAUUGAUGCAAUUAUUGUAAAAUUACAACUUCAACUUCAAUGUAUUGUAUUAGUUCAAGGAAAUAUUGUUUGCACAGAAGCUUUUGAAAUAGGAGAAUCAUUGAUUUCUACAAGAGCUUGAAUCAUUACUGUUAUUUUUCAUGCACUAUAAAAUUGCAUUAUCUUAUGUGGAUUUUAUUAGAGGAGCAUUGGGAUUAUUUUGUUUGUUUGUUUACUUUUAUUUUCUUAAUCUUGUGUAAGAAUUUCAGUUCUGGAAACAUGCUGAAACUAGAGAAAGGUUCCUCUUGAAAAAAGAACUUGUGUCUCUGGAGAGACCGAAAAGGUACAUUGCAGGGGUGGUUUGUGAGAGCUGGGAUGCUGGGCCUGGUUGUGAGAUCCUGUCUCAGGGUGAGCACCAUGGUGGAGCACAUAGGGCUCAGUGUCGAAAACAGGAAAACAUUUGAGUAGCAAGGCUCACACAUCUUGCAAUUUUUAUUUGAAAUCUUGCAUGCUUGCUGUUUCUUUUUAAAGCUCCAGUCCCAAAAGUUGUUUGAGAGGAAGAAGGGAGCUGAGAGUGAGG